AGUCCAUGAUGUGGAUAUUUCUGAAAUAACUCUCUAAACCUUUCCCAUGUUUCAUACAACGAUUCCCCCUCUAAUUAACUAAAACUAGUAAUAUCCAUUCUAAGUUU